AUUGAACGCUGGCGGCAUGCUUUACACAUGCAAGUCGAACGGCAGCGGGGGCUUCGGCCCGCCGGCGAGUGGCGAACGGGUGAGUAAUGCAUCGGAACGUGCCCAGUCGUGGGGGAUAACACAUCGAAAGAUGUGCUAAUACCGCAUACGUCCUGAGGGAGAAAGCGGGGGAUCUUCGGACCUCGCGCGAUUGGAGCGGCCGAUGUCGGAUUAGCUAGUUGGUGGGGUAAAAGCCCACCAAGGCGACGAUCCGUAGCGGGUCUGAGAGGAUGAUCCGCCACACUGGGACUGAGACACGGCCCAGACUCCUACGGGAGGCAGCAGUGGGGAAUUUUGGACAAUGGGCGCAAGCCUGAUCCAGCAAUGCCGCGUGCAGGAUGAAGGCCUCGGUUGUAACUGCUUUGUACGGUAACGAAAGGACGACCUUCUAAUACAGGCGCGUCAUGACGGUACCGUA
rnacentral:rRNA from 1 species